AACGCAACUUGCGCCGAGUAUUCGGCAUGUCUACCCGAGUGUCACAUAAACGAUGUUUUAUACGAAUCGGUGUGUAGCACAUGUGCUUGCACUGGGAUAUAGCAAGAAAAGAGGGAUGUGAUGCCUAUUCAAGUGUCAAGUAUUCUUGGACAAGCGUCUCUUUCAUCUCAAUAUUCAUAUUUCCGACCUCGGGUUAGGCAAGAUCACCCGCUGAACUUAA
rnacentral:misc_RNA from 1 species